rnacentral:rRNA from 1 species
ACGCCUGCCCAGUGACUUUAUGUUUAACGGCCGCGGUACUCUGACCGUGCAAAGGUAGCGUAAUCACUUGUCUUUUAAAUAAGGACUAGUAUGAAUGGCAUCACGAGGGCUUAGCUGUCUCCCUAAUCUAAUCAGUGAAACUGAUCUCCCUGUGAAAAAGCAGGGAUUAACACAUAAGACGAGAAGACCCUAUGGAGCUUUAAACCAAAAACUACCUGUUUAAUCUAUUGUACGAAAGAUAAUACUAAAUCAACUGAUCUAGUUUAGGUUUUCAGUUGGGGUGACUGUGGAGAAAAACAAAUCCUCCACGCAGACUUAAGCUUUGAGCAACCGCUCUACGCAUUAGCAAGUCUAACUGCACUUGAUCCAAUAUUUUUGAUCAACGGACCAAGUUACCCUAGGGAUAACAGCGCAAUCCAUUUCAAGAGUCCCUAUCGACAAAUGGGUUUACGACCUCGAUGUUGGAUUAGGACACCCAAGUGGUGCAGCCGCUACUUA